UUCCGGGAAUAGUAUUUGAGUUGAGUUUUCUUAUAAGAGGAUUUGGGUGGUUGACUAGGCGGGAUCGGAAUCGUUUGUAAAAGAGAGAUGCAGUUUUGGAUACGGUGUUGAUGUGAAGAUCAGAGUGUAAUGUGUGAUUAGAGACAUAAUAGGAUGCGCCCGUUAUUAGGCGGAGCGAGGUAGACUGGAAUGCUUGGAUUUUUUUAAUGUUAGAUGGCUUGGCUGUUCCCCAUACUUGUAUACCGUAAGACCAGAUAGGAGUUAAUAACAUUUUGUACAGGUUUAAUUUAUUUUU